CUCUACUCUCCUGCCUCAAUUCUACUCUCUACUUUUAUAAGCUCGACUCACAUGACGAAAGCCCUCAUCAGAUGCUUACAUCAUGAUCUUGGACUUCCCAGCCUCCAGACUGAUGCUAUGGAAGAUCAGAAAAUAUAAAUUUAUGAACUGCUAUAAACUGUUAUUUUCUUCGUGAAGAUCAGCCUCCAGGUUCAUCACAUGACUCAGCUAAGAGAAAAUAUCCAGUGGCUCAUCGUUACCUGUGGGAGGAGGUCUGAACUCCAUGGCUUUGCAUUCAUGUUCUUGUUUGUCUCACUUCAACCUUCAUUCCCUCCAAGUCCUCGUUGUCCUCCCAGGGUUCCUCUGCUACAGCCGGGGGAGUCUGAUCCCUGCUUCCUAAAUUUCUCUGAAGCUUAUCUACACCUAUGUUUUUGCUCCACUCUUCUUUCUCCUUUAUACACCAAUUAUUCUCCUGUUUUAUCCAAAUUAUUCCCUUCUGCAAGACUCACAUCAAGUACGAUUUCUUUC
ensembl:lncRNA novel transcript